rnacentral:rRNA from 1 species
ACUCCUACGGGAGGCAGCAGUGGGGAAUAUUGGACAAUGGGCGCAAGCCUGAUCCAGCCAUACCGCGUGGGUGAAGAAGGCCUUCGGGUUGUAAAGCCCUUUUGUUGGGAAAGAAAUCCAGCCGGCUAAUACCUGGUUGGGAUGACGGUACCCAAAGAAUAAGCACCGGCUAACUUCGUGCCAGCAGCCGCGGUAAUACGAAGGGUGCAAGCGUUACUCGGAAUUACUGGGCGUAAAGCGUGCGUAGGUGGUUAUUUAAGUCCGUUGUGAAAGCCCUGGGCUCAACCUGGGGAACUGCAGUGGAUACUGGAUGACUAGAAUGUGGUAGAGGGUAGCGGAAUUCCUGGUGUAGCAGUGAAAUGCGUAGAGAUCAGGAGGAACAUCCAUGGCGAAGGCAGCUACCUGGACCAACAUUGACACUGAGGCACGAAAGCGUGGGGAGCAAACAGGAUUAGAUACCCUGGUAGCGUCGUCU